rnacentral:lncRNA from 1 species
CUGAUAAGGGUUUAAAGACGACACGUGUUGAUGAAAGUCUGUGUUUUCACAAGUUUGCGUUAACUGGAGCAGGAGUGAUUGGAUUAUAAUUAGUUAAAGAUUAUAAUUAGUCUACUGGUAGUAUGCAAUGAAAUGGGAUAACAGCUGGUGACGGCAUGCAUGGGCUCUUUCAUCACUCUUCUCCCUUGAAGAAGACCGGGCAGGUUAUUGAAUGGGCACAGGCGGAUCUUACCCACCCUUACCACAGAUGAACACUUUGAGCACCAUGGAGUGGAUUGUUGGUAAUCUGUCCGAGUCUCACCCAAACCUGAACAAAGUCGCUACAGUGGGACUGCUUCUACCAACCUCCACAGCUGAUUGUGAGAGAGGUUUCAGCAGUUGAAUGUGUAAAGACCACCCACCAUUCACCGGUGAGCAUGAAACUGCUUAAUGCCUUACUCAUGGUGUCCAUGCAGGGACAAAAACUGAAUGACUUGAAUUUCAGUGGUGCAGUAAAGGAAUGGCACAGAGCCAAAGACAGACACUUACCGGUAUAUGAAAACAAAAAUGCCUAUGUGUUGUUAGUGUUAGUACAAAAGAAGUGGAAGGACAUAUGUGUUGUUCG